CUUUUCCUUUCUUUUUUUUUUCUUUUUUUCUUAGAUUUUUACUUAUUUAUUUGAGAGAGAUCACAGAGGGAGAGAGAGAAAAAGCCUCUCUGUUGAGCAAGAGCUGAAUGUGGGGCUCAAUCUUAGGACCCUGAGAUCAUGACCUGAGCUGAAGAAGAUGCUUAACUGACUGAGCCACCCAGAUGCCCCACCACCAGACCAUCUUGAAGACAGGAUCUUUCAACUUUUUUAGCUGCUUCUUCAGGUUUUUCUAGAAAUUGGGAGACAUUUCCCAUGAAAUCUGAAAGUUAUCCCAGCAUCAUCAAAUGGGAAAAUAUGGAUGGAACCCAUAGAAGAUGAUACACAAUAUCAUUCCAGUAUUUUAAAGCAAGUGAAAUAUGGAUAAAAUGAACACCAAGAACAGCAUUGAAUGGCAAAUGAGUUCAUGACAUGUAACAGAGGUAAGCAGAGAAUGUGUUGAACAGUGGGAAGGAAAAGUCCUGUUUUGGUAAAAAA
rnacentral:lncRNA from 1 species